rnacentral:rRNA from 1 species
GAAUAUUGCACAAUGGGCGAAAGCCUGAUGCAGCGACGCCGCGUGAGGGAUGACGGCCUUCGGGUUGUAAACCUCUUUCAGCUCUGAAGAAGCGAAAGUGACGGUAGGAGCAGAAGAAGCACCGGCUAACUACGUUCCCGCAGCCGCGGUAAUACGUAGGGUGCGAGCGUUGUCCGGAAUUAUUGGGCGUAAAGAGCUUGUAGGCGGUUUGUCGCGUCGGCUGUGAAAACUCGGGGCUUAACCCCGAGCCUGCAGUGGGUACGGGCAGACUAGAGUGUGGUAGGGGAGACUGGAAUUCCUGGUGUAGCGGUGGAAUGCGCAGAUAUCAGGAGGAACACCGAUGGCGAAGGCAGGUCUCUGGGCCAUAACUGACGCUGAGAAGCGAAAGCGUGGGGAGCGAACAGG